rnacentral:tRNA from 1 species
CGGGGCAUAGCGCAGCCCGGCUAGCGCGCUUGCAUGGGGUGCAAGAGGUCCUGAGUUCAAAUCUCAGUGCCCCGACAA